UAAUUAACUCGCUGUCUGCAGGGGCUCGCUGGUGGCUAAUUGUCCUUAUCUAAAGUGUGGGGCGCUCUGCCUUUUUUUGCAAUGUUUUGGUGCUGGUGGAGGGGAACUCACGCCCCUGACCAGCCUUUCUCGCAGCCGGUGCCAAGACUCCUUGCAGCCAGCACCGCCCCUUUAAGAGAUGCAGGCUCCAGACAUUUUUAACUUUUUGAAGGUAAGGGGAGGCUCCUGGUUUAACCCCCUCGGCUCGGGGCCCGCCGGCCCGCCAAGACGCCGCCAGCACCGAGCUUUCGCUUUGACCCGGCUCCGCCGCGCACCGGCGGCCGCUUUCCGCCGCGGGAGCUCCCGGAGCGCGCAGAACCGGGCCGUAGCCGGGACACCGAGACACCGGAGAGCUCGGCACCGGGACCGGAGCGCAGCCGCCCAGCGCUGUAAGCAGGAGCAGUCCCCCAGUGGCUCCUCGCCCCUUUCUGGAGGACCAGCGGACACCAGACCCCCUGGGCUCUCCUCCACCAGGAAGGAAGCGAAUUGCAGCCCGCAGCCUCUGGGACUCUGACUUCAGACCUCAAAGUCAAGUUGAUCUGAAGGGGCUUUACCAAACUCCCCAUAUCCAUGCUUCACUCCGUCCUCCCGGACCUGCACUGUCAGAGCUGGAGGAGGACAGCUGUGAUCAGGGGUAUCCCCACAGGCAGGGGUUGUGGACCUUGAGAGCUGCGGCACAGAAGCUGCAGAGGGAGAAGGUCAUUAUUGCUAAUUGAACAGCAAUGUCGCAACAGAGAACAGGUAAAAGGAGGAGACUGUAGUGUUCGAAGAAAAUGAGGGCAGCCACAUGGUGCUCACCGAAGGACUCAAGAGGCAGGAUGCAGCCAGGACAGGCCUCAGUGAGAGCCUUGGAAAUUUAUGUCAUACUUUGCCAAGGACUCAAUCAAUUGAGCAUGUGCUAAAGCUCAGUUUGUUUUGUCUUAUUUUGAGCUUUGGAAGAUAUUUCCUAUCUUGAAUCAUUGAACAUGCUCCAGCCACACACCUGCAACUUCUGGAGUGCAUCCUCUCGGCGAGAGGCUGGCUAGCACGUCGUCACUUGUGCAGGUCAAAUCCUACUGAAAGCACAUCAGACCACAGCUUUCGCACCAGUUUACUUUUACAUGGAGCACAUGUAAGCUAACAUCUGGCAGGAAC
rnacentral:lncRNA from 1 species